rnacentral:lncRNA from 1 species
CGGUGAUGGAGGAGAUUUCUUCAAAGCACAUCAAGGUGGUGCGGCGGAAGUGCGAAGAUGGUGGAGUCGCGACGGCCAUGGUGCGAAUUUGGUUUCUGAUGGUGGCGGCCUUGACGGAUGACGAUGGCUGAGCGAUGGUGGAGAAGUGUUGCCUCUCGCAGAUGAUGGAGGUGCUGCCAUGGUUGCACGAAGACGGUAGGUGCUGCUUGUGGUGUGAUUUCUGUGUUUCUGCAUGUGUGUGCGCGAGGAGGACGAAGGUGGCUGCCGACGAUAAGGUGGAUGGUGG